rnacentral:rRNA from 1 species
AGAGCGAACGCUGGCGGCAGGCCUAACACAUGCAAGUCGAGCGCCCGUAGCAAUACGGGAGCGGCAGACGGGAUAGUAACACGUGGGAACGCGCCCUUCGGUUCGGAAUAACUCAGGGAAACUUGAGCUAAUACCGAAUACGCCCUUACGGGGAAAGAUUUAUUGCCGAAGGAACGGCCCGCGUCCGAUUAGCUAGUUGGUGAGGUAAUGGCUCACCAAGGCUACGAUCGGUAGCUGGUCUGAGAGGAUGACCAGCAUCACUGGGACUGAGACACGGCCCAGACUCCUACGGGAGGCAGCAGUGGGGAAUAUGGACAAUGGGCGCAAGCCUGAUCCAGCCAUGCCGCGUGGAUGAUGAAGGCCUUAGGGUUGUAAAGUCCUUUUAACGGGGAAGAUAAUGACGGUACCCGUAGAAUAAGCCCGGCUAACUUCGUGCCAGCAGCCGC